rnacentral:lncRNA from 1 species
ACACACACACACACACACAAAAUGGAGCGACAGGGAUUCACCGCGGUCGGACGGGCAUAGGGCGCGCCACGACAACGACGGGCCGCUGGGCCAGUCCUCGCGGCAUCGAUGGCGGCCGAAAGCCUGGCGUAGUCGCUGCCGGCGGGUUGGCGACCGGACGGCGGCGCAACACGGCCUCGUCGGCGGGCGGCAGGUCGGGCCCUCCACCUCCACCCUCUCCUCCUUCGCCGCCUUCGCCCCCCUCUCCUCCCUCGCCGCCCUCUCCACCUUCUCCGCCCUCUCCACCUUCGCCACCUUCUCCACCUUCCCCGCCCUCGCCGCCUCCCGUUGCCUCUCCCCCGCCUCCGCCGCCGCGCAGGCCGAAAAAGGCCGCAAUGCCGGCGACGGCGAGGGCGAUAUAGGUCCAGAUGCUGGUGACGGCAUUUCGUAUGGCCCUGGCCGCCCGCUGGCCGGCAGCGGCGAGGCCGCACAAAAGACCGCUGACUCGGAUGUCGCCCUUGGCGUCCUUGGGGCAGCCCGUGCCAAAGAGGAUCGUGACCACGGACACGAUCACGACGAGCACGGCGAUGACGCCCAGUGCGAUCUUGACCCAGCGCCACACAUCGGUCGGUUGUCGGGGCGGUUCGAGGGCGCCAGGGAUGGCCCCCGGCACGGCGCCGGCCUCGAUCGCCGCCGGCGCGGUCGUGGUCUCGGUCGCCACCAAGGCGGCCAUUGUUGAUCGUCGAGUUCCUUUUUUUUUCUUUUUUCCUCCUGUCGUCAACGUUUUUCUCAACGACGACGCAAAUGCAGGCGGGCGCCGCGGUG